rnacentral:tRNA from 1 species
GGUGCUGUGGCUCAAAGUGGUAGAGCAUUUGCCUUGAGCACAAAGAACUUAGGGACAGUACCU